rnacentral:lncRNA from 1 species
GAUAAAAUAGGAUAGGAUAGGACAGGAUAUUACUGUUGCAAGAGACCUUCAGUAAUUAUCUAAUCUGACUGCCUGAUCAGUUUAGGGAUAUUGAAAAUAAAAAUAAAUCAUUAGAGGCAAAGUAAAUUAUUAAGGGCAACAGAAUUAAAUUAUAUCCAGAUACAUGAUUUUGGCCACUGGUGGCUCACUGGGACUACUGAAUUGUCCCCAGGGACAAGGCAGGGGAGGAUCUGUAUUUAAAGGUAGAAUAGAAAAAAGUGUACUCUGAAGGCAGAAAUUAAUCUGAGCUUUUUUGUGCUUACUCCUCUUCAACCUAUGUCAGCUGCUGAAGACCAUUGAUGGAGGUACAGACUUCACUUAAGAAGCCUGCAAUGACCUUUCUGUCCAAGAAACUCCUCCUGGAGCUUUUUCCUGCUUUGGAUUUCUUAUCAUUUUCACCAAACCGGGACUGAAUCUCCGCACCAUUCCACCAUUGAAGUGAGAUUUUUCCAACUGCCUAACUCUCUGAAAACACCCACCUGAAUUCUCUGUGCUCAACAGAGCAGCCCAAGGAUAAACCCUCCGGUAAAUCCCAUGUGACUGAAGAUAUAGGAGUCUGCCUGUGAGUAAAAACAUUUUAAAUAUGAUUGCUAUACCUGUAAGUAACCAAAGAGCCCUUUUGGAGCAAAUAAUUUCCUUGGAAACAUCUGAAUCCAAUCAUCUAAGCCUGGGAGCCCAAAUUUAU